GUGCUGCGGAGCCAAAUUUGAAGCAAGCGGAGGCGCGGGGGCGCGUCUACGAAGCCGGACCUGUAGCAGUUUCUUUGGCUGCCUGGGCCCCUUGAGUCCAGCCAUCAUGCCUAUCCGUGCUCUGUGCACUAUCUGCUCCGACUUCUUCGAUCACUCCCGCGACGUGGCCGCCAUCCACUGCGGCCACACCUUCCACUUGCAGUGCCUAAUUCAGUGGUUUGAGACAGCACCAAGUCGGACCUGCCCACAGUGCCGAAUCCAGGUUGGCAAAAGAACCAUUAUCAAUAAGCUCUUCUUUGAUCUUGCCCAGGAGGAGGAGAAUGUCUUGGAUGCAGAAUUCUUAAAGAAUGAACUGGACAAUAUCAGAGCCCAGCUUUCCCAGAAAGGGAUGAGGCACUGAAGCCAAGGGCCCAAGUUCUUCUGCUGAUGGAUGGACAGGCCUUUCCCUUUCCUCCGCCCUCUACCCCUGCUCCAGACAAGGAGAAACGAGACAGCCAGGUCAUCAUCGACACUCUGCGGGAUACGCUGGAAGAACGCAAUGCUACUGUGGUAU
rnacentral:sRNA from 1 species